rnacentral:lncRNA from 1 species
UCCAGAAAUAACAGGAUCUGCCGGGUCUACAUGGCUCCCUUUUAAAUUAAUUAUCUGCGUUUACACUAUCACCACCAGUGCACCACCACCAACGGCUUCUUAAUCCUUUCUCCACCCCCUCUCUUUCUCUCUCUAAAAUCUUUGACUGCUUUCUCUCUCUAGAAUCAAAAUAAAACCCUAAAAUCUACAAGUAAAAGAAAAACCCACCUCCUUUUAUGGACCAAACACGUAUUCAGUGUUCUUCAAUAACCUUAACUUUAUGAUCUUCACUUUUGCUCCGACAACCUGUUCAUCAUUUUGGAUUUUGCUGUCUUGACUGGUACGUGCUUCAACGUUUAGUCAAAAAGCAAUUGAUCUGAGAGAACCCCUGUCAAGAAAUUUCGAUUUACCUUACCAAAUGAGGUUUCUAAUUGAAUCCUGAAGCCUUACCAAAUUUCAAACCUUGUUUACCUUUUUUGCUCCGAUUUUAUGUUUACUGGGAUGGUUGUUUUGUGGAAGAUAUGGGUACUUGUGAUUCUUCUUGGGGUUUCUCGGGUUCUUGUGAUUUCAC